rnacentral:rRNA from 1 species
GAUGAACGCUGGCGGCGUGCCUAAUACAUGCAAGUCGAGCGAACAGACGAGGAGCUUGCUCCUCUGACGUUAGCGGCGGACGGGUGAGUAACACGUGGAUAACCUACCUAUAAGACUGGGAUAACUUCGGGAAACCGGAGCUAAUACCGGAUAAUAUAUUGAACCGCAUGGUUCAAUAGUGAAAGACGGUUUUGCUGUCACUUAUAGAUGGAUCCGCGCCGCAUUAGCUAGUUGGUAAGGUAACGGCUUACCAAGGCAACGAUGCGUAGCCGACCUGAGAGGGUGAUCGGCCACACUGGAACUGAGACACGGUCCAGACUCCUACGGGAGGCAGCAGUAGGGAAUCUUCCGCAAUGGGCGAAAGCCUGACGGAGCAACGCCGCGUGAGUGAUGAAGGUCUUCGGAUCGUAAAACGCUGUUAUUAGGGAAGAACAAAUGUGUAAGUAACUAUGCACGUCUUGACGGUACCGAAGCAGAAAGCCACGGCUAACUACGU